CCUACGGGUGGCAGCAGUGGGGAAUAUUGGACAAUGGGCGAAAGCCUGAUCCAGCCAUGCCGCGUGUGUGAAGAAGGCCUUCGGGUUGUAAAGCACUUUCAGUGGGGAAGAAAGCCUUGGGGCUAAUACCCUCGAGGAAGGACAUCACCCACAGAAGAAGCACCGGCUAACUCCGUGCCAGCAGCCGCGGUAAUACGGAGGGUGCGAGCGUUAAUCGGAAUUACUGGGCGUAAAGCGCGCGUAGGCGGUCUGAUAAGCCGGGUGUGAAAGCCCCGGGCUCAACCUGGGAACGGCAUCCGGAACUGUGAGGCUAGAGUGCAGGAGAGGAAGGUAGAAUUCCCGGUGUAGCGGUGAAAUGCGUAGAGAUCGGGAGGAACACCAGUGGCGAAGGCGGCCUUCUGGACUGACACUGACGCUGAGGUGCGAAAGCGUGGGUAGCAAACAGGAUUAGAUACCCGAGUAGUC
rnacentral:rRNA from 1 species